AGGAGGAAGUAGAAGUGCUGAGUAAGCCGAGACAGAGGGGGAAGACGGUGGGGCCUCCCCACCUGCCCCGCAGAAGAUGCAGUUCUUUGGCCGCCUGGUCAAUACCUUCAGUGGCGUCACCAACUUGUUCUCUAACCCAUUCCGGGUGAAGGAGGUGGCUGUGGCCCACUACACCUCGAGUGACCGAGUUCGGGAGGAAGGGCAGCUGAUUCUGUUCCAGAACACUCCCAACCGCACCUGGGACUGCGUCCUGGUCAACCCCAGGAACUCACAGAGUGGAUUCCGACUCUUCCAGCUGGAGUUGGAGGCUGACGCCCUAGUGAAUUUCCAUCAGUAUUCUUCCCAGCUGCUACCCUUCUAUGAGAGCUCCCCUCAGCUCCUUGGAAGGAACGCAGUGGCUGGCCUGAACCAGGUUUGAUCUAGGGACCUCUGGGGUAGCAGGGCUUGGGGACCCGCCUGACCACAGCAUGCCCUGCUCUGUGCCUCACAGAACUGCAGGAUCUCAUGCACAUCUCACGGUCCCGGAAGCCAGCGUUCAUCCUGGGCUCCAUGAGGGAUGAGAAGCGGAC
rnacentral:sRNA from 1 species